UGAGUAACACGUGAGCAACCUGGCUCUAAGAGGGGGACAACAGUUGGAAACGACUGCUAAUACCGCAUAACGUAUCGGGAUGGCAUCUUCCUGAUACCAAAGAUUUUAUCGCUUAGAGAUGGGCUCGCGUCUGAUUAGAUAGUUGGCGGGGUAACGGCCCACCAAGUCGACGAUCAGUAGCCGGACUGAGAGGUUGAACGGCCACAUUGGGACUGAGACACGGCCCAGACUCCUACGGGAGGCAGCAUG
rnacentral:rRNA from 1 species